GGGUUUAAAGUGAGCGUAGGCGGAUAGUUUAGUCAGAGGUGAAAGCCCAGGGCUCAACCUUGGAAUUGCCUUUGAUACUGGCUAUCUUGAGUAUGGGAGAGGUGAGUGGAACUCCGAGUGUAGAGGUGAAAUUCGUAGAUAUUCGGAAGAACACCAGUGGCGAAGGCGACUCACUGGCCCAUUACUGACGCUGAGGCUCGAAAGCGUGGGGAGCAAACAGGAUUAGAUACCCUGGUAGUCCACGCCGUAAACGAUGAGUGCUAGUUGUCGGCAUGCAUGCAUGUCGGUGACGCAGCUAACGCAUUAAGCACUCCGCCUGGGGAGUACGGUCGCAAGAUUAAAACU
rnacentral:rRNA from 1 species